rnacentral:rRNA from 1 species
AGUUUGAUCCUGGCUCAGAUUGAACGCUGGCGGUAUGCUUUACACAUGCAAGUCGAACGGGCUUGGGGGCUUGCUCCCGAGUUAGUGGCGAACGGGUGAGUAAUAUAUCGGAACAUAUCCGGAAGUGGGGGAUAACGUAGCGAAAGUUACGCUAAUACCGCAUAUGCCCUGAGGGGGAAAGGGGGGGAUCGCAAGACCUCUCGCUUUCGGAGUGGCCGAUACCGGAUUAGCUAGUUGGUGAGGUAAAGGCUCACCAAGGCGACGAUCCGUAGCUGGUCUGAGAGGACGACCAGCCACACUGGAACUGAGACACGGUCCAGACUCCUACGGGAGGCAGCAGUGGGGAAUUUUGGACAAUGGGCGAAAGCCUGAUCCAGCCAUACCGCGUGAGUGAAGAAGGCCUUCGGGUUGUAAAGCUCUUUCAGCCGGAAAGAAAUUGCUUCUAUUAAUACUAGAAGUAGAUGACGGUACCGGAAGAAGAAGCACCGGCUAACUACGUGCCAGCAGCCGCGGUAAUACGUAGGGUGCGAGCGUUAAUCGGAAUUACUGGGCGUAAAGCGUGCGCAGGCGGUUUUAUAAGCCAGAUGUGAAAUCCCCGGGCUCAACCUGGGAACUGCAUUUGGAACUGUAAGACUAGAGUAUAGCAGAGGGAGGUAGAAUUCCACGUGUAGCAGUGAAAUGCGUUAGAUAUGUGGAGGAAUACCAAUGGCGA